UACGUAGGGUGCAAGCGUUGUCCGGAAUUAUUGGGCGUAAAGAGCUCGUAGGCGGUUUGUCGCGUCUGCUGUGAAAACCCGAGGCUCAACCUCGGGCCGCAGUGGGUACGGGGCAGACUAGAGUGCGGGUAGGGGAGAUUGGAAUUCCUGGUGUAGCGGUGGAAUGCGCAGAUAUCAGGAGGAACACCAGUGGCGAAGGCGGUCGACUGGGCCAGUACUGACGCUGAGGCGCGACAGCGUGGGGGAGCAAACAGG
rnacentral:rRNA from 1 species